GUUUUGGGUUUAUAACCUCUCAUCCCUGGAAAAACGUAACCUCUUAUUGAGAGAGGAAUCAAUGGCGUCUAGGGUUUCGCUCAAGAGCAAAGGCAAAAGCAGCGGCGGCAAGGGAUCAAAGGGCAUGGAGGAGAAAUCGACCUCGCAGUGCUUGAAGGAGUGGAGCACUUGGGCCAUGAAGAAGGCUAAAGUCAUCACUCAUUAUGGAUUCAUUCCUUUGGUCAUCAUCAUCGGCAUGAAUUCCGAGCCUAAGCCUCAGCUUUACCAGCUCCUAACUCCUGUCUGAUUUAAUCGCUUGCAUGCUCAUAUCGUGGUGAUUUGCCUUCUCCUCUUUUAUUUGUCGAAUCUACAUCGAUUGACUGAGGGAUUUUUAUUUGGUUUAGGACUUAGGGGGUGUAAGCUUUAUGGGUUUUGUGGAAGUCAAGUUUAUGGAUGAAUUAGUGUAAUAUGUGAAAAUAUCCAAUCUUUAUAUAAGGGUUUUGAAUAUUGGAACACAGAGUUUUUGCGGUUGCAUUUACUGUUCGGCUGAUUAGAGUUUUGGUUUUAAUUCUAUAGAAACUUCGGUUACCAGUUUAAGAUUUGUGCCACAACUAAUAAGCAUGUUCUUAGCUGUCACUUUGAAAAUGCAAUUUUUUCUUUAAAUUAAAGAAUUUUGUUGUUUAUUACUUGGUGAAAAUUUUGGAACAUGAUUUUGUUUGUUUAAUUGGAUUUUGAAGCUGAAUGAAAUGAAGGCUGAAGCUGAACGAAAUGAAGGCCAUUUAUUUUUUUAAAGAUCAUAUAGACCAAUAUAUUUGCUCGAUUACUUCUCUGUGAUGGUCAGAACCUAUCAAUGAGAGGGUAGACUGAAAAAGCAUUGGUUUGUUUAUCUGUCAUUUGUUUUAGCUGUGGGGGUCAUUUCAUUUUGGUUGGCCUUAAUUGUGAUCUUUAUACGUUACAAAUUUGAUCGUGUUGAGAACUCAACUAAGCCUUAAUAUU
rnacentral:misc_RNA from 1 species